rnacentral:misc_RNA from 1 species
UCUCCGUUGGUGAACCAGCGGAGGGAUCAUUACCGAGUUUACAACUCCCAAACCCCUGUGAACAUACCAUUUGUUGCCUCGGCGGUGCCUGCUUCGGCAGCCCGCCAGAGGACCCAAACCCUUGAUUUUAUACAGUAUCUUCUGAGUAAAUGAUUAAAUAAAUCAAAACUUUCAACAACGGAUCUCUCGGUUCUG